UCCAGCGCUGAUGGUAUUGCAAGGGUAGCCUUGUGAGAGAGUAGGUCACUGCCGAAU
rnacentral:rRNA from 1 species